UCCGGUUUGUCACCGGCAGUCUCCCUAGAGUUCUCAGCCGAACUGCUAGCAACUAGGGAUAGGGGUUGCGCUCGUUACGGGACUUAACCCAACAUCUCACGACACGAGCUGACGACGGCCAUGCAGCACCUGUGUCUGAGUUCCCGAAGGCACUCCUCCAUCUCUGGAGGAUUCUCAGCAUGUCAAGGCCAGGUAAGGUUCUUCGCGUUGCGUCGAAUUAAACCACAUGCUCCACCGCUUGUGCGGGCCCCCGUCAAUUCAUUUGAGUUUUAACCUUGCGGCCGUACUCCCCAGGCGGUCAACUUAGUGCGUUAGCUGCGCCACUAAGGAUUCAAGAUCCCCAACGGCUAGUUGACAUCGUUUACGGCGUGGACUAC
rnacentral:misc_RNA from 1 species